AUUAUUGCUGAAAAUGGUCCUUCGUAGCUGUCAUGGUCCCUGAGCCCUCUUUUCUUGAGCUCCUUUUUUCUCUCUCCACUCUUUCUGUGUUUGCUCGUUCUGUUGUGCUUGUCUGUUUCAGGGGAUGCCCCUCCUCCUUCCUGUCGUUCAGUCACUUGUCAACAAUCAGCUGAUUGCUCCCCUGCUCCUCAUGAGGUGUCCAUGCUGGCUUCUCAACAACCAUAUCAUUGCACCACCACGACCUUUCAGCUUGUUUGGAUCCCUGCCAUCUUCUGUGACAGUGUCCAAGUGUGCUUUCAGACAGCCUGCAGUACCUCUGCCCCGUCUCCUGGAGCCCACAGUGUUUAUCCUGUAUUCAUAACUAUCUGCAAAUAAACCUGUGAAACUGUA